UUUUCUUUUAAAACAGCAGGUUCUCAACCUAUGGGUCUCGACCCAUUUGGGGGUCAAACGACCCUUUCACAGGGGUCGCCUAAGAUCAUCGGAAAAUAAAUAAAUAUUUAACAAUAUAUUAUGACAUAUUGUUUUUGUGAUUAAUCACUAUGCUUUAAUUAUGUUCAAUUUGUAACAAUGAAAAUACAUCCUGCAUAUCAGAUAUUUACAUUAAGAUUCAUAAAAGUAGCAAAACUGC